rnacentral:rRNA from 1 species
GAUGAACGCUGGCGGCGUGCCUAAUACAUGCAAGUCGAGCGAACAGAUUAGGAGCUUGCUCCUCUGACGUUAGCGGCGGACGGGUGAGUAACACGUGGAUAACCUACCUAUAAGACUGGGAUAACUUCGGGAAACCGGAGCUAAUACCGGAGAAUAUAUUGAACCACAUGGUUCAAUAGUGAAAGACGGUUUUGCUGUAACUUAUAGAUGUAUCCGCUCCGCAUUAGCUAGUUGGUAAGGUAACGGCUUACCAAGGCAACGAUGCGUAGCCGAACUGAGAGGGUGAUCGGCCACACUGGAACUGAGACACGGUCCAGACUCCUACGGGAGGCAGCAGUAGGGAAUCUUCCGCAAUGGGCGAAAGCCUGACGGAGCAACGCCGCGUGAGUGAUGAAGGUCUUCGGAUCGUAAAACUCUGUUAUUAGGGAAGAACAAAUGUGUAAGUAACUAUGCACGUCUUGACGGUACCUAAUCAGAAAGCCACGGCUAACUACGUG